rnacentral:rRNA from 1 species
AGUGAACGCUGGCGGUAGGCCUAACACAUGCAAGUCGAACGGCAGCACAGAGGAGCUUGCUCCUUGGGUGGCGAGCGGCGGACGGGUGAGGAAUACAUCGGAAUCUACUCUGUCGUGGGGGAUAACGUAGGGAAACUUACGCUAAUACCGCAUACGACCUACGGGUGAAAGCAGGGGACCUUCGGGCCUUGCGCGAUUGAAUGAGCCGAUGUCGGAUUAGCUAGUUGGCGGGGUAAAGGCCCACCAAGGCGACGAUCCGUAGCUGGUCUGAGAGGAGGAUCAGCCACACUGUAACUGAGACACGGUCCAGACUCCUACGGGAGGCAGCAGUGGGGAAUAUUGGACAAUGGGCGCAAGCCUGAUCCAGCCAUACCGCGUGGGUGAAGAAGGCCUUCGGGUUGUAAAGCCCUUUUGUUGGGAAAGAAAUCCAGCUGGCUAAUACCCGGUUGGGAUGACGGUACCCAAAGAAUAAGCACCGGCUAACUUCGUGCCAGCCGCCGCAGUAA